ensembl:lncRNA
CAUUUAUGAUUUGGAUCUCUGCUUGUCAGUUGUUGGUGUAUAGGAAUACUUGUGAUUUUUGCACAUUGACUCUGUAUCCUGAGACUUUGCCCAAGUUGCUUAUCAGCUUAAGGAGUUUUGGGCUGAUACGAUGAGGUUUUCUAAAUAUAGAAUCAUGUCAUCUACAAACAGAGACAAUUUCACUUCUCUUUCUAUUUGAUACCCUUGAUUUCUUUCUCUUGCCUGAUUGCCCUGGCCAGAACUCAGAACUUCCAAUACUGUGUUGAAUAGGAGUGGUGAGAAAGGGCAUCCUUGUCUUGUACUGUUUUUCAAAGGGAAUGCUUCCAGCUUUUGGAGAUUCAAUGUGAUAUUGGCUGUGGAUUUAUCAUAAAUAGGCACCCGUCACCACACCUGGCUCAUUUUUUGUUGUUUUUGUAUUUUUAAUAGAGAUGGGGUUUCACCGUGUUAACCAGGAUGAUCUCAAUCUCCUGACCUCGUGAUCCACCUGCCUUGGCCUCCCAAAGUGCUGGGAUUACAGGUGCGAGCCACUGCGUCCAAAUACCAAGUUUAUUGAGUUUUUAACAUGAAGCGAUGUUGAAUUUUAUCAAAGGCCUUUUCUAUUUAUCUAUUGAGAUAAUCAUGUGUUUUUUGUCUUUUGUUGUAUUUAUGUUAUGGAUUAUGUUUAUUGAUUUGCAUAUGUUGAACCAGCCUUGCUUCCCAGGGAUGGAGCCCACUUGAUUGUGGUGAAUAAAUUCUUUGAUGUGCUGCUGGAUUUGGUUUGCCAGUAUUUCAUUGAAGAUUUUUGUGUAGAAGUUCAUGAGGGAUAUUGGCCUGAAGUUUUCUUUUUUUGUUGUGUCUCUGCCAGGUUUUGGUAUCAGGAUGAUGCUGGCCUCAUAAAAUGAGUUAGGGAGGAGUCCCUCCUUUUCAAUUGCUUGGAAUUGUUUCAGACGGAAUGGUACCAGCUCCUCUUUGUGCCUCUGUUAGAAAUCAGCUCUGAGUCCAUCUAGUCCUGGGCGUUUUUUGGUUGGUAGGCUAUUAAUUUCUGCCUCAAUUUCAGAACUUGUUAUUGGUCUAAUCAGGGAUUCGAUUUCUUCCUGGUUUAGUCUUGAGAGGGUGUAUGUGUCCAGGAAUUUAUCCAUUUCUUCUAGAUUUUCUAGUUUAUUUGUGUAGAGGUGUUUAUAGCAUUCUCUGAUGGUAGUUUGUACUUCUGUGGUGUCAGUGGGACAGUGUGGUGAUUCCUCAAGGAUCUAGAACCAGAAAAACAUUUGAUCUAGCAAUUCCACUACUGGGUAUAUACCCAAAGGAAUAUAAAUUAUGGUACUAUUUAGACACAUACACAUGUAUGUUUAUUUACAGCACUAUUCACUAUAACAAAUACAUGAAACCAACCCAAAUGCCCAUCAAUGAUAGCCUGGAUAAGGAAAACGUGGUGCUUAUAAACCAUGGAACACUAUGCAGCCAUAAAAAGGAAUGAGAUCAUAUCCCUUUCAGGGACAUGGAUGAAGCUAGAAGCCAUCAUUCUCAGCAAACUAACACAAGAAUAGAAAAACAAACACUGCAUGUUCUCACUCAUAAGUGGGAGUUGAACAAUGAGAACACCUGGACACAGGGAGGGGAAUAACACAUACUAGGGCCUGUUGGGGGGUAGGGGUAUGCAGAGGGAACCUAGAUGACAGGUCAAUAGGUGCAGCAAACCACUAUGGCGCAUGUAUACCUAUGUAACAAAUCUGCACAUUCUGCACAUGUAUCCUGGAAGUUAAAGUAAGAUAAAAAUAAAAAUAAGAAAUGAAAAAACACAGGUGUCUGACAGAUGGGAUUGCAUUAAACUCAAAAGCUUUUGCACAUCAGGGGAAACAACUGAGUGAAGAAGCGAUUCACAUAUUGGGAGAACAUAUUUGCAAAUCAUACAUUGAAAAAGUGGCUAAUACUUAAAAUGUAUAAGAAACUCAACUCACUAGCAAAAAACAAAAUAAGACAAAACAAAACAAAAA